rnacentral:rRNA from 1 species
GAUGAACGCUGGCGGCGUGCCUAAUACAUGCAAGUCGAGCGAACAGACGAGGAGCUUGCUCCUCUGACGUUAGCGGCGGACGGGUGAGUAACACGUGGAUAACCUGCCUAUAAGACUGGGAUAACUUCGGGAAACCGGAGCUAAUACCGGAUAAUAUAUUGAACCGCAUGGUUCAAUAGUGAAAGACGGUUUUGCUGUCACUUAUAGAUGGAUCCGCGCCGCAUUAGCUAGUUGGUAAGGUAACGGCUUACCAAGGCAACGAUGCGUAGCCGACCUGAGAGGGUGAUCGGCCACACUGGAACUGAGACACGGUCCAGACUCCUACGGGAGGCAGCAGUAGGGAAUCUUCCGCAAUGGGCGAAAGCUUGACGGAGCAACGCCGCGUGAGUGAUGAAGGUCUUCGGAUCGUAAAACUCUGUUAUUAGGGAAGAACAAAUGUGUAAGUAACUAUGCACGUUUUGACGGUACCUAAUCAGAAAGCCACGGCUAACUACGUG